UUUAUUUAUGAUAGUUUUAAGCUUACAGUAAUGAAAUGUGCGGUAAUAAAAUUUCAAGAUUUACUAUUGAAAGGUAAAGUUAUAAAUCUUUGAUAAUCUUUCGUUUUUUGCUAUUGAUUAAUCUUUUUUCCAUCAUUUUCAUCUUCCUUGCAAACAUCAAAAGUUUAUCAAUCAACCAAACUCACUUCUUCCUUCCUACCAUUAAUGUUAUCAAGUCUUAAACCUUUGAUAUAUAAAAAAAAAACUCAAGUUUUGGAGGAGUUGACGAUAUGCUUCAUGUUUUCACAUCGAUGACCGCAACAACAAUUUAAAAGAUCAAUGCCAUUGAUGAUUGAAGGCUGUUUGGUGUUGUACGCGUGCAAGGUUGUGUGAUUUGUCAUUAGCAAGGUAUUGAUGAGUUUUGGAGUUUGCACAUAUUCUAUGUCAGUGCUUAAAUAAUUUGGGUCCGCUAAAUGGGGUUUGCUUGAUGGAAAUAGGGCUUGAUUGGCAGAGUCCAUAGGUGGCUGGUCAGCACGGGAUGGACAGUAUCCUCAUGCUAUUCGAGUUGGUUGAUCAACAACAUAUGUACUAUAUAUGUUCUUGAAUUGAUAUUAUCAUAGAGUGAUCAAUUUGGUUUUGUUUAAUUCUAGUACAUGAAUUCAUCUCAAUAUUCAGUUUACACCAUUAAAUUUCUGAA